UACGGAGGGUGCAAGCGUUAUCCGGAUUCACUGGGCUUAAAGGGUGCGUAGGUGGGUUGGUAAGUCAGUGGUGAAAUCUCCGUGCUUAACAUGGAAACUGCCAUUGAUACUACUGAUCUUGAAUUUUCCGGAGGUUAGCGGAAUAUGUCAUGUAGCGGUGAAAUGCUUAGAUAUGACAUAGAACACCGAUUGCGAAGGCAGCUAACUACAGGGAUAUUGACACUGAGGCACGAAAGCGUGGGGAGCAAACAGG
rnacentral:rRNA from 1 species